CCCGAGGUUAGAUCCAGCAGGGGAAGGAAGAUAGAGGAGGGGAGGGAAGGGGUUAUGAUCUCCAUGAUGUGGAGGCUGUGGACAGAUGCUCAAGAAUGAUGGUUUCAGUCAUGUCAUUGCUGAAGACCGAACUGACCAGGUCUACCUAUCUAAACAGAUCUUCAUGGUUCUCUACAACCGCGACAACGUGGAGUCCAUCGGGCUGGACGAAGCGGCCAAAUGCCUCGGCGUGGAGAGGCGCCGGAUCUACGACAUUGUCAACGUGCUCGAGGGCGUUGGGCUCGCCAUCGCCGCCAUCUUCGAGCCUCCCUAAAGCACGGGCGCUGCGGGGUCGUUCCUCACCGGCGUCUCCUUGGCCAACCUGUCCAUCUCCUUCCACCGUAUGCCUAGGGUCGAGUGCCUCCCACCCAUCAAAUCCAAGCAUCAGGAGGUGCUCACCUUUGACAGCGGUCAUCCCUCAACCCUCUGUAGCAUGUGGCGCCCCCACUGCGAAUUUGCCUCUAUGACAAUUGCCAUCCUCGCAUCCCAAACCGUCGAUGCCCACCCCUAACACGGUUCCUGACCUCCCUGACAGGGGACUUCUCUAAAGGAUAUAACAAGUGGUUACCAGUGUGAACUGCGAAUACAUUCUACUGAUAUUUGUGUCGUGCAAUUGUGAAUAAGUAAGCAUAUUUAAUACUAGCAUAAAAAAUGGUUACUCGGACAUAUGGCCUGCAAUUGUGAAUAAGUGGUCAAGAAAUCCAAAUGGAGUCCCUCUAGAAUCUCUUGGAUAUAAGCAAGGUUACAGAGUUGAUGUGGAUAUUCCUGACCAAACAUGGGUAGAGGCAUGUAGCUUCCAUGAUGUUCUUAUUUUCAACACUGGGCAUUGCUGGGAUUCCACAUCUUAAGUGGUUUGGGGUGGAGGGGCAGUACAAUGUCAUGGUGAUUGAUCUGCUUGGUCCAAGUCUGAAGGGCUUAUUUAACUACUGUAGCAGAAAGUUCUCA